rnacentral:tRNA from 1 species
GCUGAGGUUGUGGCUCAGUGGUAGAGCACUCACCUCGCUCGUGUGAGGCCCUAGGUUCAAUCCUCAGCACGGCA